GUUUGUUACCUGGUAGCCUGAUAAGCAAUACCUGCUGAGAUUUUCUCUUCUACAAGCCAUUCAAUCUACAGGAGCCCUCUCCAGUUUUCAAUCUGGCAACCUAACUGUAAAGUGCCAGAUAUAUUGAUGGUGAAUAAAAGAACAAUAUUAACUGGAUGGGAAGAACUGGGAGAACACAAGAAGAGAGAAGAGAUGGGCAGAGAAGGUGGAGUGGAUAGAUAAGGCCUUGCGUUCGACCUCUUGGCUUCCUUUGCCACACGGCACACUCUUAGCUGAAGUGUGAACGCAGCUGUACCAGGGCAAUUGACAGCCUUUUGCUGUUUCAAGCGUGAACAAGCUUGUCACAGGAGCAGAGCCAAACAGGUUCUGUACCCUUCCUUGAACAUGAAAUGCACAGCAGCCAUUCAGUUUGGUGGAACACAGAAAAGGCAGCAAGGGAAGACCUCAUUUGCUCCAUCGUUCCCAAACCCAAUCCACCCUCCCCACUGAAGAAGAAGUGACAAGAAGGUUCAUGUGGCUGGGAUGGGAGAGGAAGGUGUGGAGAGCAAAAUUAAUUUUCACCUGAAGUGACAAAAGAGCUUGAGCCGGCUCUCAGCGUAAAUGAGCUCAGAGCCUACUUCCUAAAUACUGGCAACUCUAACUUCAUUGCAAUCCUUAGAGAGGGGAGAGAGAAAGAGAAACGACAGGCAUGAUCUUCUUUUACGUAGAAGGCUAUCAAUCACCAAGAGAGUUGGAGGUACACCUGGAGGAUCGUUCCCUUCCUGGCCUCUUGGGUUCCGGUAUAGACUUCUCUCCUUAUUCUGCUUUUGUCAAUUCCAGAUUUCUGGCUUCUAAUUUGCAGCAGCUUAGGGUGGAGAUCCACACACUUGGUGGCAGACAAAGAGAAGUUUGGGAUGUGCACAGGGGCAGCUGUGGUGAUUGUUGGUAUUUGCCAGGAAAGCAGAAGCAGCAGAUGAACUUGACAUCUAUCUGAAAACAGAAAUGAUAAACCAUUUAAAAAUCUAUGAGUGUACUUUGUUACUUGGAGCUGGUUCAUCUCUUCAAUGACUUCACAAGUUCAUCCUCCGUUAGCAGUAAAAAGGCCCAAAUUAUCAUACCAUUUUUAAAUGAACUGAAAACUAAUCAGAGAACAAUUCAGUACUACUGCUUAGCAUACAUCUGCAUUUCUGAAUAUGUAUUAAGGUUAUAUUAAACAAUAAAGCACUUUCAAUAAAAA